rnacentral:tRNA from 1 species
GCCGGUGUGGCGGAAUGGUAGACGCGGCGGACUUAAAAUCCUCUGUCCGUAAGGGCGUGCCGGUUCGAAUCCGGCCACCGGUA